AGUUGUUUUGCUGACAUUGUGCACGCUUCAUUAGUUUCCACUUCAUACCCCUGUGCACCUUUGAUAGAUUUCGGUUUGGGUUAUCCUUUGGUUUUUUUCUUCAUUGAAAAGGCCUUUGGUUUCCUUAAAACGACUUCUAUACUAUACCACACACCAAAUGUAUGUUUUAUAAUGAAUGGUUUAUAAUGACAAGGCCAUGAGCCUUAUAAACUUAAUACAACUUUCAACAACGGAUCUCUUGGCUCUCGCAUCGAUGAAGAACGCAGCGAAAUGCGAUAAGUAAUGUGAAUUGCAGAAUUCAGUGAAUCAUCGAAUCUUUGAACGCACCUUGCGCCCUUUGGUAUUCCGAAGGGCAUGCCUGUUUGAGUGUCAUUAAAUUCUCAAACUCUAUGACUUUAUUGUUGUAGCUGUUUGGAUUGUUGGGGGUUGCUGGCUUCUUUCUUUGAAGUCGGCUCCUCUUAAAUGCAUUAGCGGGACUUUGUUGCCUCUGCGCAUAGUGUGAUAAUUAUCUACGCUAGACGCAUGCAAUUCUUAUAUUGUCCAGCUUUCUAAUCGUCUCAAGGGACAAUUACUUUGACAAUUGACCUCAAAUCAG
rnacentral:rRNA from 1 species